rnacentral:misc_RNA from 1 species
GUACAAUCAAUAAAUUAUGUUUGUUUAGCUACAAUUUUGUAAGAAGAAGGGGAUCCUUUAUUUAAGAGGAGAAUUUAAACAGGACAAUCUCCCAAAGUUCUAUUGAAGCCUUUUAUCCAUUUGAUGAUUGGUCAUCCCAUAGGCUAAGCUCAUAAACAUCUCCGAGACUGUUAGUGAAUUUAAGAGACCCACAAGGCCAACGAUAAGUAUAUUUAUCCUAGUUGUAAGAUCUCACAUUAUGGUCCCAAUAGCACAUGUGUUGACAUUGGAUCUUAAUAACAAGCUACGAGUUAAAAAAGAAAAAAAGAACAAUACAAAAAUGUCUUUGAUCUUAAUCACUAGAAACAUGUGUUGACAUUUGAGUGAUAAAACAACAGCACCGCCACAAUCAAAUUCUCAACUAUUAGCUUCACAGAGUCAAUAUAUCAAAUUGAUGAAAGAACAAUGGAUCAUAAUUUAAAAAGCAUAUUCAGAGAAAUGGUUGUCAUUUAAAAGGAGGGAAAGUCAAUCGAAAGCAACUUCCAACCAGGCCAGAAGGAUAAAGAGACGAUCCUCUAUAGUUUACUAAGCCAAAUCCACCAUUACCCACAAAAAAAGGGAAAAAAAAGAAUAAUAGUUGAUAAGCCACUAGGCAUCUGUGUGAGUGAUUACCCAAACCUGCAAAUGUUAGGGGGAAUGAUAAGAAUGAUUGGAAAUAUAAGAAGAUGAGGAAGGCCAAAAGAACAUGAAUUUGAAAAGUUAUGGCUACCAAAAUGGUUACGAGCAAUGUUAUUAAGUUGAGAGGCAAGAGGCAAGGCAAAGGUCUUUUUGAAGUGAGGCGCCAUAGCCUAAAUCUAUAUAUAUAUAUAUAAAGUAGGAAGGUGUUUCCAAGAGAAUACUAUGUGGCAUUCUCUUUUCUAGUAUUAUCACGUGACUAACACUUGGCAUUUUGUAUCGUCACGAG